rnacentral:rRNA from 1 species
AUACGGGGGUGGCGAGCGUUGUCCGGAAUUAUUGGGCGUAAAGGGCGCGUAGGCGGAAUAGUAAGUCAGAAGUGAAAAUCAUGGGCUUAACCCAUGACCUGCUUUUGAUACUGCUAUUCUCGAGUGCGAGAGAGGAAAGCGGAAUUCCCGGUGUAGCGGUGAAAUGCGUAGAUAUCGGGAAGAACACCGGUAGCGAAGGCGGCUUUCUGGCUCGCAACUGACGCUGAGGCGCGAAAGCGUGGGGAGCAAACAGGAUUAGAAACCCCGGUAGUCC